rnacentral:lncRNA from 1 species
GAACAACACAGCUCCUGAUUGGCAAUCCCUGCUGCCCCUGCACUUGCAGCCUGGAGAUGCCUCAGAAGUGCCACUACAGUUACUGUCUGGGACAAAAGAGCAGGUCAGACUCUGCCCUGCCUGGCUUGGUGAGCCCAGCCGUGGGAACCUGGGACCAGACACCAGCAAGAGUGCAUAGGAGGAAAAUCUGAUGUGCCCUCCAGGAACAGAAUGCACACACGUCCGUAGGAAAAGGCUUGAUGAUUUCUGCUACCUCUGCAGUGUUCUUUAUUGGAAUGAUAAACCCUGACAGAACAAUAAACGCUUUAUUGGAACAGUAAACCCUGAUGUC